GUAGGGUGCGAGCGUUAAUCGGAAUUACUGGGCGUAAAGCGUGCGCAGGCGGUUUUGUAAGACAGGUGUGAAAUCCCCGGGCUCAACCUGGGAACUGCGCUUGUGACUGCAAGACUCGAGUACGGCAGAGGGGGGUGGAAUUCCACGUGUAGCAGUGAAAUGCGUAGAGAUGUGGAGGAACACCGAUGGCGAAGGCAGCCCCCUGGGUCGAUACUGACGCUCAUGCACGAAAGCGUGGGGAGCAAACAGGAUUAGAUACCCUGGUAGUCCACGCCCUAAACGAUGCCAACUAGGUGUUGGGGAAGGAGACUUCCUUAGUACCGUAGCUAACGCGUGAAGUUGGCCGCCUGGGGAGUACGGUCGCAAGAUUA
rnacentral:rRNA from 1 species